rnacentral:rRNA from 1 species
UGAACGCUGGCGGCAUGCCUAACACAUGCAAGUCGAACGCGAAAGCACCUUCGGGUGUUAGUAGAGUGGCGGACGGGUGAGUAAUGCUUGGGAAUCUGCCUAGUAGUGGGGGAUAACUCGAGGAAACUCGAGCUAAUACCGCAUACGCCCUACGGGGGAAAGAUUUAUCGCUAUUAGAUGAGCCCAAGUCAGAUUAGCUAGUUGGUAGGGUAAUGGCCUACCAAGGCGACGAUCUGUAGCUGGUCUGAGAGGACGAACAGCCACACUGGGACUGAGACACGGCCCAGACUCCUACGGGAGGCAGCAGUGGGGAAUAUUGGACAAUGGGCGAAAGCCUGAUCCAGCAAUGCCGCGUGUGUGAAGAAGGCCUGCGGGUUGUAAAGCACUUUCAGUUGGGAAGAUUAUGACGUUACCAACAGAAGAAGCACCGGCUAACUCC